AAUCUUUGCCAAAUUUUCAAUAAGAAUAGCCCAAACAAAAUAACCAGGAGCAAAAUAAUCAGCUGCUACUAAUCCUGUCACUGCCCGGACUCGAAUCCCUGGUGGAUCAAGCCCUGUUUCAUUAUCCAAAGACAGGUGCCCCAACCAACAUAAAGGCCUAAUUAUAAUUGCACAAAAACUUUCAAUUGGGAAUUAACUCUCAACAAAUAGGUGCUCCAACCAACAUAAAGGCCUAAUUAAAAUUGCAGAAAAAAGAAUUAACUCUCAACAAAAUCUAAGCUUUCUAAUUGAGAACAAAGGUAAUUAAUUCAAUAAAAAGGGGCAGCUCGGAGCACUAAGCUCACGAAGGGCGGGAUAACAAGGGUAACCUUAUGCAGGAGGCUAUUUCCACGGCUUGACCCGUGAAAUCCCGAUCACAUGAAAGUAACUUUACCAAGUUACGCCAAGGCACCUUCAAAAAGGUAACUAAUUUAAUGUGACAAAAAAAAAAUAGUUUUGUG
rnacentral:lncRNA from 1 species